ensembl:lncRNA
GAUGAAAUCCCCUAGUUAGGGGAUGUAGAUAGAAUUGAAAAGAUCUAAGGUCUGGGCUCACAGGCACUCCAGUGUUUAGAGGUGAGAGAUUGAGAGGUGAGGAAAAACACUCUUGAGGAGAUUUACUAUAAAAAGUGACAGAAAAAUGAGCUCCAGUGGUGGCUGAAAGGUGCGGUGGGGUCAACUGAAGUCUUCUCUUUGUUUAAUUGGGAAAAGUAACAUCAUUUGUGUGAACUGAUGGGACUGAUCUAAAAAGGAGGGAGGAGAGAGAAGGGUGAAGACAGAGGGAAACGCUGAAGUGAUGUCUUUAGUAGGCAAGAAAAGAGGAUUUAGAAGAUAAAGUAGAGAUUUGCCUUAGAUAGGAACUUAAUUAAUUCAUCAUAAUAAUAGUAGGAGCAUAUGGACAUAAUAAUAAUAAUAGCUGAGCAUCUGGGCAUCAUUAGAGAUAAGUGAGUAAAUGUGGUGUGGGGGCCUGUGGAAGUGCUCUUUGGUGAGGUCAUUUUUCAGACAAGGUUUUCCUGAGGUGGCAAGUAUCUAAUUAAGGAAGUGCUCCCAGGAGAAAGCUUUUGGGAAUUGGGAACUGAAGACCGACCGAGAAGAAGCAAAUGCUGGCAACGGUCCCAAGAGUAGCUUCAGGAUGAUCCCAGAGGGAAAUCCUGGAGGGUUUGACUAUGAAUAGCUCAGUCUUACUGGAGGAUCUCAAUCUUGCUGGAGGGUCUCAAUUCUACUGGAAAGCUUCAGAGAAAACAGGUGAAAUUCAGAUUUGUCCUUUCAGAGGAUAGGGGAGAAGAAACUUAUGUUGACCAGUCACAGAUCCCAUUGCCUGAGGGACUCCUGGAGUCUAUCGCUGAAUAGCUCUCCGGCUUCCUGCCUGGAGAAAACUCUUCUUUGAAAGGACUAAUGUGAUUAGCUCAGGCCCACCCAAAUGAUCUACUAUAAGGCCAAUUGAUUUGAAGCCUUAAUUAUAUCUGCAAAAUCCCUUUUGAUCUGUAACAUAUCCUAAUCACAGGAGUGAAAUUCAUCGUAUUCAAAAAUGGGGAUUAUUCAAGGCAUGUUCACCGGGAAGCAGUAAAUUCUGAGGGUUAUCACAUGGCUAUCUCAAAUCCAUUGUAUAAGAAAGUAUAAUGCUUUGAAUUGUCAUAAGUAUGUAGAGAGUGUUUGGAAAUAUGCAUAAUUUUCUGUGUAAAUCAUUAAAACUAUUGAGUCAAAACAUAUUUCUUAUUUUGAAAUGGUAAAAACAAAUUAACUGAGUUUCUCUAAAGGCAUAAAACACAGGAGUAUCAGAAGAGAAAUUAAAUUUAAAAUUAUGACAAAUAUAGAUUAAUAUAUCAGAUCAAUAAAGCAAUUUACUUGGAAACCUCGCAAAAGUAUAUUCUAUCAUGCUAAGAGCAAUCAGAAUGUAAAGAAUUCAGAUCAAAGAAAAAAUAAACACAUUUUUAAAGAUUUUAGAAACUGUUUAAAAGAAUUCAUGAAUAUGAAAGAUCAACAGAGGCAAACACAUUCCAUGUCAUUAAAAAACAGUUUAAAGGAUUACAGGGACUCUUAAGGUUUAAAGACACACCUUCAAAGCGUUUGGUGAAUAUUCUAAAUGCUACAGGCAAACCGAAUUUACUCCAUUCAAUAAAAAGGAGCGGAGUUCUAU